UACAGAGGGGGCAAGCGUUGUUCGGAAUUACUGGGCGUAAAGGGCGCGUAGGCGGCCUGCUAAGUCGAACGUGAAAUCCCCGGGCUCAACCCGGGAACUGCGUCCGAUACUGGCAGGCUUGAAUCCGGGAGAGGGAUGUGGAAUUCCAGGUGUACGCGGUGAAAUGCGUAGAUAUCUGGAGGAACACCGGUGGCGAAGGCGGCGAUCCUGGACCAGUAUUGACGCUGAGGAGCGCGAAAGCCAGGGGAGCAAACGGG
rnacentral:rRNA from 1 species